AGAGUUUGAUCCUGGCUCAGAACGAACGCUGGCGGCAGGCCUAACACAUGCAAGUCGAACGCGACUUCGGUCGAGUGGCGCACGGGUGAGUAACGCGUGGGAACCUGCCCUGUGGUACGGAAUAACAUCGGGAAACUGAUGCUAAUACCGUAUAUCUCCUGAGGGAGAAAGAUUUAUCGCCAUAGGACGGGCCCGCGUAGGAUUAGCUAGUUGGUGAGGUAACGGCUCACCAAGGCGACGAUCCUUAGCUGGUCUGAGAGGAUGAUCAGCCACACUGGGACUGAGACACGGCCCAGACUCCUACGGGAGGCAGCAGUGGGGAAUAUUGGACAAUGGGGGAAACCCUGAUCCAGCCAUGCCGCGUGAGUGAUGAAGGCCUUCGGGUUGUAAAGCUCUUUCGCACGCGACGAUGAUGACGGUAGCGUGAGAAGAAGCCCCGGCUAACUUCGUGCCAGCAGCCGCGGUAAUACGAAGGGGGCAAGCGUUGUUCGGAAUUACUGGGCGUAAAGGGCGCGUAGGCGGUGCGUUAAGUUAGGCGUGAAAGCCCUGGGCUCAACCCGGGAACUGCGCUUGAUACUGGCGCGCUUGAAUCCAGGAGAGGUUGGUGGAAUUCCCAGUGUAGAGGUGAAAUUCGUAGAGAUUGGGAAGAACACCGGUGGCGAAGGCGGCCNCUGGACUGGUAUUGACGCUGAGGCGCGAAAGCGUGGGGAGCAAACAGGAUUAGAUACCCUAGUAGUCC
rnacentral:rRNA from 1 species